rnacentral:rRNA from 1 species
UUUUUCUGGUUAGUUGCAUCACUGGGCAGUAACUAAACUAGAAAGCUAAGCAAUGUCAGUCAUGGCUAGUACUUGGAUGGGAGACCUCCAGGAAAAUCUGAUGGAAAGAC